rnacentral:rRNA from 1 species
GACAGAGGAUGCAAGCGUUAUCCGGAAUGAUUGGGCGUAAAGCGUCUGUAGGUGGCUUUUUAAGUCCGCCGUCAAAUCCCAGGGCUCAACCCUGGACAGGCGGUGGAACUACCAAGCUGGAGUGCGGUAGGGGCAGAGGAAUUUCCGGGUGGAGCGGUGAAAUGACGUAGAGAUCGGAAAGAACACCAACGGCGAAAGCAACUCUGCUGGGCCGACACUGACACUGAGAGACGAAAGCUAGGGGAGCGAAUGGG